AGAGUUUGAUCCUGGCUCAGAUUGAACGCUGGCGGCAUGCUUUACACAUGCAAGUCGAACGGCAGCACGGGGGCAACCCUGGUGGCGAGUGGCGAACGGAUGAGUAAUAUAUCGGAACGUACCCGGAAAUGGGGGAUAACGUAGCGAAAGUUACGCUAAUACCGCAUAUGCCCUAAGGGGGAAAGCGGGGGAUUCGCAAGAACCUCGCGUUUUCGGAGCGGCCGAUAUCGGAUUAGCUAGUAGGUGAGGUAAAGGCUCACCUAGGCGACGAUCCGUAGCUGGUCUGAGAGGACGACCAGCCACACUGGAACUGAGACACGGUCCAGACUCCUACGGGAGGCAGCAGUGGGGAAUUUUGGACAAUGGGCGCAAGCCUGAUCCAGCCAUGCCGCGUGAGUGAAGAAGGCCUUCGGGUUGUAAAGCUCUUUCAGCCGGAAAGAAAACGCACGGGUUAAUAACCUGUGUGGAUGACGGUACCGGAAGAAGAAGCACCGGCUAACUACGUGCCAGCAGCCGCGGUAAUACGUAGGGUGCGAGCGUUAAUCGGAAUUACUGGGCGUAAAGCGUGCGCAGGCGGUUUUGUAAGACAGAUGUGAAAUCCCCGGGCUUAACCUGGGAACUGCAUUUGUAACUGCAGGCUAAAGUACGCAAGGGGGUAAAAUCCCGUGUAGCAGUGAAAUGCGUAAUUGUGGAGAAU
rnacentral:rRNA from 1 species